AGAGGACACGUGGCCAAACACGUAACUUAGAUUUACUUAGUAUGGAACUCGGGGAAAAAAAAAACUACACGAUUCAAUACCAGAGGGCAAGUUGUUUAUGAUGGAAAAGGGGAAAGAUUAUCAAGCUAUAUGGGAACAUUGGUGCGAUCUCAACACAAUGUACCCAUCCAAGUUCAAGAUUGGAAUCAUGUUAGUGAAAAUGUGAAAGAAAAGAUUUGGGCCUUAGUAUUGGAAAAAUAUGAAUUAGAAGAAACAUGUAAGAGCUACAUUCUUCAAUGUUGUGGAAAUUUGUUUAGAAGCUAUAGAAAUAAAAUGAAGGCCAAGUAUUAUAACCCUUAUAAUACAGAUGAGGAGAGAUUGUGCCAUCGACCUCCACACUUAUCGGAUGAUGAUUGGAGGUGGCUCAUCCACUUUUGGGGUACACCUGAGGCCAAGGCACAAAAGAAUGAGGAUUGAAGUGAGCCCAAUAGAAUUGAGAUGUUUGCCCUGACACACACAAGAAAAGAUGGGACGCCUGUUGAUGAUCAUUCUAAGGAGAUUAUGGAUCAAUUUCAACAAUUACUAUCCCAACCUGAGGGGACAUCUUCUUCUACUUCUGCAUCAUCUGGAGCAUCUACAUCUGUAUCAUCUACAUUUAUAGCAUCUACAUAUGUAGAUGAGAUAUAUACUCAAGUCAUGGGUCCAGA